GCUGCUGUUGAGCUGCUGAACUAAACGGCGCUCCAGGAACUCGAUGCACUGCUCACACAGCGUGGGGUGGAUCAGCCUCUCCACCGCCUGAGAGAGGGAGGAGAUGGCAUGUGAGCCUGGUGACGGAGGGCCCCGCUGAGGGUGACCAUGCCAAACCGGACCUCGAUCAUCUUCUUCAUCACAUAGAUCUUCCUCCUCAGAUCGUCCUCCUUCUCCUCACCGUCUCCAUUCACAGCAAUGUAGAGGCACUCAUCGAACUGAGGACACAAAAAGAGUGAAUAAAUUAGUAUUGCCUCCAGCACAUGAAUAAAACGGAGAAUAUAGUGAAAAUUAAA